GUGACUGCGUACCUUUUGUAUAAUGGGUCAGCGACUUAUAUUCUGUAGCAAGGUUAACCGAAUAGGGGAGCCGGAGGGAAACCGAGUCUUAAUUGGGCGUUAAGUUGCAGGGUAUAGACCCGAAACCCGGUGAUCUAGCCAUGGGCAGGUUGAAGGUUGGGUAACACUAACUGGAGGACCGAACCGACUAAUGUUGAAAAAUUAGCGGAUGACCUGUGGCUGGGGGUGAAAGGCCAAUCAAACCGGGAGAUAGCUGGUUCUCCCCGAAAGCUAUUUAGGUAGCGCCUCGUGAAUUCAUCUCCGGGGGUAGAGCACUGUUUCGGCUAGGGGGCCAUCCCGGCUUACCAACCCGAUGCAAACUGCGAAUACCGGAGAAUGUUAUCACGGGAGACACACGGCGGGUGCUAACGUCCGUCGUGAAGAGGGAAACAACCCAGACCGCCAGCUAAGGUCCCAAAGUCAUGGUUAAGUGGGAAACGAUGUGGGAAGGCCCAGACAGCCAGGAUGUUGGCUUAGAAGCAGCCAUCAUUUAAAGAAAGCGUAAUAGCUCACUGGUCGAGUCGGCCUGCGCGGAAGAUGUAACGGGGCUAAACCAUGCACCGAAGCUGCGGCAGCGACGCUUAUGCGUUGUUGGGUAGGGGAGCGUUCUGUAAGCCUGUGAAGGUGUGUCGUGAGGCAUGCUGGAGGUAUCAGAAGUGCGAAUGCUGACAUAAGUAACGAUAAAGCGGGUGAAAAGCCCGCUCGCCGGAAGACCAAGGGUUCCUGUCCAACGUUAAUCGGGGCAGGGUGAGUCGACCCCUAAGGCGAGGCCGAAAGGCGUAGUCGAUGGGAAACGGGUUAAUAUUCCCGUACUUGGUGUUACUGCGAAGGGGGGACGGAGAAGGCUAUGUUGGCCGGGCGACGGUUGUCCCGGUUUAAGCGUGUAGGUGUGUGUUCCAGGUAAAUCCGGUUCACUUUAACACUGAGGCGUGAUGACGAGGCACUACGGUGCUGAAGUAACAAAUGCCCUGCUUCCAGGAAAAGCCUCUAAGCAUCAGGUAACAUCAAAUCGUACCCCAAACCGACACAGGUGGUCAGGUAGAGAAUACCAAGGCGCUUGAGAGAACUCGGGUGAAGGAACUAGGCAAAAUGGUGCCGUAACUUCGGGAGAAGGCACGCUGACACGUAGGUGAAGUGAUUUACUCAUGGAGCUGAAGUCAGUCGAAGAUACCAGCUGGCUGCAACUGUUUAUUAAAAACACAGCACUGUGCAAACACGAAAGUGGACGUAUACGGUGUGACGCCUGCCCGGUGCCGGAAGGUUAAUUGAUGGGGUCAGCGCAAGCGAAGCUCCUGAUCGAAGCCCCGGUAAACGGCGGCCGUAACUAUAACGGUCCUAAGGUAGCGAAAUUCCUUGUCGGGUAAGUUCCGACCUGCACGAAUGGCGUAAUGAUGGCCAGGCUGUCUCCACCCGAGACUCAGUGAAAUUGAACUCGCUGUGAAGAUGCAGUGUACCCGCGGCAAGACGGAAAGACCCCGUGAACCUUUACUAUAGCUUGACACUGAACAUUGAGCCUUGAUGUGUAGGAUAGGUGGGAGGCUUUGAAGUGUGGACGCCAGUCUGCAUGGAGCCGACCUUGAA
rnacentral:rRNA from 1 species